rnacentral:sRNA from 1 species
UGUUCUACUAAGGAAGGAGGGACGCCC